GCCGGUCUAGUAUAGUGGUUAGUACAGCUCGUUGUGGCCGAACAAACCCAGGUUCGAUUCCUGGGGCCGGCA